CUUUAAAAAUAUCAAAAAUUAAGAAAGGAAAAUAAUGUCCUACCUCAUCCUGCCACCACCCCAGAAGACAGAAAAGUUUCCCUGUGCCAGAACAGAGCAGAAAUGGCAGGAUGGGGAGAGAAUGACUGACUGCGCCUAGCAUCCAGGCGGGAGAAUCUGUGCAGGGA
rfam:Cavia porcellus supercont2_29 genomic scaffold, whole genome shotgun sequence.